GGAUGUGAGGGUGAUCUGGCUGCGACAUCUGUCACCCCACUGAUCGCCAGGGUUGAUUUGGCUGAUCUGGCUGGCUAGACAGCUGCCCCCUUCCUUCCUCACGGCUCAAAGUGUGCCCCUCCCCACGCUGCGUGGUAUGUCGAAGAGGACAACAAUCCCCAAUAGAGGAGGACCAGUCUUCCAUCAAGGGUAUACAAGUAGCUGCACUCCAGUGAGAAGCUCCAAACAAGCUCUCAAAAAUGCAAACUGGUUGGGUGCGGUGGCUCAAGCCAGUAAUCCCAGCACUUUGGGAGGUUGAGG
rnacentral:snRNA from 1 species